GGGGAUAUAGCUCAGUGGCACAAGCGUCUGCCUGGCAAGCACAGGAUCCGAGUUUGAUCCCUGGUACCCCCA
rnacentral:tRNA from 1 species